rnacentral:rRNA from 1 species
CCUACGGGGGGCUGCAGUGAGGAAUAUUGGUCAAUGGACGCAAGUCUGAACCAGCCAUGCCGCGUGCAGGAAGACGGCUCUAUGAGUUGUAAACUGCUUUUGUACGAGGGUAAACGCAGAUACGCGUAUCUGUCUGCAAGUAUCGUACGAAUAAGGACCGGCUAACUCCGUGCCAGCAGCCGCGGUAAUACGGAGGAUUCAAGCGUUAUCCGGAUUUAUUGGGUUUAAAGGGUGCGUAGGCGGUCGGAUAAGUUAGAGGUGAAAUCCCGAGGCUCAACUUCGGAAUUGCCUCUGAUACUGUUCGGCUAGAGAGUAGUUGCGGUAGGCGGAAUGUAUGGUGUAGCGGUGAAAUGCUUAGAGAUCAUACAGAACACCGAUUGCGAAGGCAGCUUACCAAGCUACGUCUGACGUUGAGGCACGAAAGCGUGGGGAGCAAACAGGAUUAGAUACCCGGGUAGUC